GAAAGCAUAACUCAAUAGGUUAGAGUGUCAUAUUGUGAAUUUGAAAACAUAGGUUCAAAUCUCAUUAUUCG
rnacentral:tRNA from 1 species